UUUGCGGGAGACGCGGUGCGCGGCGCCGGGAGAGGGGCGUCGUUCUUGGGGCCCUGGAGCUGCGAGUGCGGGGCUGGAGCGCCGACUACGAGGCUCCUUCACGGUGUUCCAAGUGGAAUUUCGAACGGAAGAGAGUCAUGAAGCGCUGGGUACCUUGACUCCCAGCAUGCCCCAUGCAGAUGGCGCCUCCGCGGGGGCUGCUGGGAACCGGGAAGGCGACCCCGGUCCGUUGGAGGCGAGUGGGUGGGGCCGCUGACUCGGCUUUUGGCUCGCCUAGGGCGUCUAGUCUGCCUUGGGAAAGAAAAGGGUUUUGCAGGCUGCCUUGGAGCCUGGCUAUCCGGAAGGAGAGACCGCUCUUUGGGAGAGCUGCAGGGCGUGUCCGUCUGGUCUGCUGGGGAUUCCUUCCGCCCUCUGCGGUCGCACGCUCUGUUCUGCCUGCUGUUCCAAGGCUGCCUCCUGCCCAGCAGAAGGAAACACACCUCGCUCAAAAGCAAAGGAGUUCCAGUGAAAAUCUGUGCCAGGCACAAGUAAUCAAGGGUAGAAACGAAAUGUCUGCUCCAACAGCGUGGAAUUCGCGUGCUGUAUCUACGGUGUGGUUCAUUUCAAACUCAAACCAAAUCUGUUUGCCACAUUCUCGUGGACUAGUUUUAGCUUCAUCACUUAGGAGAGCAUGUACCUAAUGAGAAAAAUGCCAGGCAAAUUGCUGACAGCUAUUCAGCUCAUUGCCAGGGUAUCCAGGAACGGGAAGGGCAAACAAAACAAAUGGAUGUGCAGUAAAAAAACAAACAAAAAAACAAAAAAACUAUAUUGUGUCUUAUGGUGCUGCUUGAAUUUAAAUCUCUAGGAAGCUCCACGCGAAACAAAGCACAUAUUGAUACUUCUGCCACGAAAGUAAAUGUCUGGAAAUGGGCAGUCUAGAAUAGACUGCCUGGAAAGUAAAUGUCGAAAAUGGGCAGUCUAGAAUACAGCUUAUUAAACUUUUUCAACUCGCUGCCCCAACACCUGAGAAAUUUUUAUGCCACUCUGGGUAUAUAGGUAUAAAACAAACAUUGACUGAUCGUUAAAAAAAAAAGAAAAAAGUUUGUUUUCCUUCUUUGAAUGCUACUUUGUAUCCUAACCUAAAAAUGAAGUUUGAAAAAAAAGCAAGCAGACCAAAAAUCUUAUCCAUUUAAGACAAAAGCAAGCUUGUAUACAAAUGAGAUAGAUUUGCUUGUUCAUUUCUACAUAAAAAUUAUCUAUGCUGCUAAACACAACAUUGUCAACUUUUUUUGUAGUUGAUUGCUGUUUUGAUUUUAUAAUUACUAAUCCUGAGAAUCAUGUUAUAUAAAUACCUAGUGCAAAGUGGCAAAAAAAAAAAAAAAGUUUGGAAGCAUUCCAAAAAUAGUUGGAAAUUCUAUCCCAAUCACCAGACAUUUUUUGAGUGAUUUUUUUUUAAUUAAAAUCAAGUCAGUAACCCAAACUGCAAUUUUUAAAGUAAAAAAAUUCUAAUACAAUACAAUCCAAAGAUGUAUAAAUUUGACUCGUGCUAAGAAACAAUUGUAGGAAAAUACUAUCUUGUUUCCUUAAUUAAGGCUUUAUGUCUUUUAAAAGUAGCAGUCUAGCAGCAGGAAAGAUGGCUCAGCGGUUAAAAGCACAUACUGCUCUUGCAGAAGACUUGAAUUUUGUUCCCAGCAUCCAUGGCAGGCUGUUCACAUCUGCCUGUAACUCUGAUUUCAGGGACAGCCAAUGCCUUCGGCCUCUUGAGGGCACUUGUACUCAUGUGCACAGACCCUAACAAGUAUACAUAAUGAAAAGUAAUCUCUUAAAAGACUAGAAAACUGUACAGUAAGAAAGCAUUGCAGUUCAUAACCCCGAGAUCUCACAUCUGAGCCAAGGUGUUUGGGGCAGCAUCAGUAGGCUUCUGCGUGUGGCGAGACAAAGUGCACACACCGUGUUCAGAACCCAGGCUACAGUGAUAACCCACAGUGCAGCGCAGUGAGCCCCCACACGACACAAAUCUUUGCACUCACCACUCAUUUGAUUUGGAUUUAUAUUUGAUUGUUGCACAUCCAGAAACAGUUUUGCUGUUGUCAAGCUUUUCCCAAUCCCACAGUCAGUCACGUGAGCCUUUAGGGACAUACAACCCACAGUUUAAGAAAUUGAUGGUCUAGACAGAGUCCGCACACUACCCUACCCCAUCCCAGAAGAGCUCUCAGAAGGCAGACCUAUGGCACAGAUCUUCAGUCAUGAAGAGCCUGGUAAGAUGGAAAUGUUUAAACUGUUUUCAAAACAAAUGCUAAUUUACUUUUACCUUGUAUUCUUUUAGCCACAAAAAUUAUUUUGAAAUGGACAUUUUGAAGAAUACAAAAUAUAUACAGUUUGAAAGACAGCUUGUGGGUUUAAUUUAGUUUUUUAAAAACUUGUGUUUGAUAACCAGUCCAUUGGAUAGUGUUGCACAUCUAUUCUGAAUUGAAAAUUCAAGAGUCUGACAAUCUAGCGUUUGCCUAAGAACUGUUCUGUGGACAAGCUCCUUGGCUAAACAACCACUUCACAGCUGGGCAGAUGCCUCUUACUAAAAUGCGCAGGCAUCCUCAUUGUAGUCAGCCAGUCUACAGGAGAGAAUGGAGAAGCUCCCAGCAACAUGCAAAGAGACUGCUUAUCCACUCACCAUGAUUUCAUGUGAACCCUGAGCUGGUUCCAGGGCGAUAAUCCGUGAUGGAAGAGUAGAGGCGUGGUGGCUAUGGCUGGAAGCUGAGGGCAUACAUCUGAACUGCGAGCAGGGAGCAGAGAGCAAACUCUAGAUGUCACAAUGUCCCUUACUCUUCCCUGCAAUGACAUACUCCUCAACCCAAAUGGCAACACGGCUCUUGACUAAACAUUCAAACGCCUAAGACCAUUGAGGACCUCUUAAUCAAACCAUCUUGAUAUUUCAACCAAUGAGCUAUGUUCUGUCUCCUCCGGUUAUUUUCCUGCUGGAACGAGAACACAAGAACUCAAAACACAUGUUUUAGUUUCCUGGCUGUCAAGAGGCAAUUAACUGUUGCAAGGUCAGCAAGACCUAUGACCACAGAAAUAAUGACUAGUGCCUCCUGAUUGAGGAUCAAAGGCAUGUCCCAUUCCAGAGCAAUGGGACAGGUGCCCCAUGGGUUAUCUUGGUCUUGUCCCAGAGAGCCUACGUAGAUCCUGCCCCUCCAGCUCUCCCCAAAAAGACUAUGAGCACCCAAUUCCUAUCAUUAUGUUCCCUCCUGGUUAUACUCUCUGAAUGGUACAGAGACUACGUCAUGAUGGACAGGACUUGGGAACAUUCACUUGCAGAGUGGCAGGGCUCCUGACGGUGGACUGAGAAGAUGCAGCCUUUAUGGAGAUGGUAACCACCUGAGACAAGCCCAGAAGGAUCCCAGGAACACACUGUGUGACAGCCCAUUUGUGCCUGGUGCUUAUUGUAGUAUGUUUGGGAGAAACACAGAUUCAGAAAAAGCAAACUGAAACCUCACCACAAAAUACAAAAUUAGUCAUCAAGACUGAAAAGGAGCUUGGGAACAACAACAACAACAAAAAUACCCUGAAGACAUUUCUCUGUGUGACCAGGUGAACUAGAGUAAUAAUCUUAAAAAAAAAAAAAAAAAAAAAAAAAAAAAAAACAAA